GAUGAACGCUGGCGGCGUGCCUAAUACAUGCAAGUCGAGCGAACAGAUGAGGAGCUUGCUCCUCUGACGUUAGCGGCGGACGGGUGAGUAACACGUGGAUAACCUACCUAUAAGACUGGGAUAACUUCGGGAAACCGGAGCUAAUACCGGAUAAUAUAUUGAACCGCAUGGUUUAAUAGUGAAAGACGGUUUUGCUGUCACUUAUAGAUGGAUCCGCGCCGCAUUAGCUAGUUGGUAAGGUAACGGCUUACCAAGGCGACGAUGCGUAGCCGACCUGAGAGGGUGAUCGGCCACACUGGAACUGAGACACGGUCCAGACUCCUACGGGAGGCAGCAGUAGGGAAUCUUCCGCAAUGGGCGAAAGCCUGACGGAGCAACGCCGCGUGAGUGAUGAAGGUCUUCGGAUCGUAAAACUCUGUUAUUAGGGAAGAACAAAUGUGUAAGUAACUAUGCACGUCUUGACGGUACCUAAUCAGAAAGCCACGGCUAACUACGUG
rnacentral:rRNA from 1 species